rnacentral:rRNA from 1 species
AUUGAACGCUGGCGGCAGGCCUAACACAUGCAAGUCGAACGAGUGGCGGACGGGUGAGUAAUGUCUGGGAAACUGCCUGAUGGAGGGGGCUAACUCCUGGAAACGGUAGCUAAUACCGCAUACCAUCGGAUUUGCCCAGAUGGGCUUAGCUAGUAGGUGGGGUAAAGGCUCACCUAUGCGACGAGCCCUAGCUGGUCUGAGAUGAUGACCAGCCACACUGGAACUGAGACACGGUCCAGACUCCGACGUGAGGCAGCAGUGGGGAAGAUUGCACAAUGUGCGCAAGCCUGAUGCAGCCAUGCCGCGUGUAUGAAGAAGGCCUUCGGGUUGUAAAGUACUUUCAGCGGGGAGGCGUUACCCGCAGAAGAAGCACCGGCUAACUCCGGGCCAGCAGCCGCGGUAAUUC